UAUUCUUAUACUCCUAUAAUAUUCAGAGCUCUCACCCGCAUUUAUAUUGGGGUUUUGUUCUACGUUGCUCCUAUCAAAGAUUUUUUUCUUGUUGCAGAAUCACAAUAGAUGUUAUGUUGCAUUUCCAAAUGUACUAAGAUUCCAGAAGCUAAGGCUUAGUUGCUACAACUUUCAUGCAUUUGUUAGUCACGAGAUUUUUUUUUCCAUAAGAAGUCACGGGAUUUAUAAGCUCGCGCUUCUCUUACCUGAUAUUAGAGUUUGAGAAAGCAAAAUGUAAUAUAAUUUCUUAAAGACGGGCAAAAACAGCCCUUAUAUAUGAAGUAUUCGAAAAGAUAGCCUUGUAAAAUAUAGUUUUCUACGAAUGUCAAUCAAUCUGAAAUACAUAUAGGAACCAUGUGGGUGCACCAAACAGAAAUAAGGGAUAAGAGCUAUUCCUCAAGUGUACGAAGUCCUUCUCUACUCAACCAAAACCUCUACUAUUUUUCUUUCUCCAUACAAUUUAAAUAAGUGCUAAAAGAGCAACAUCCCAUGCCUUGCAUCUUUUUUUUUUUCAUCUUCCGAUAAUCCAGCUAAACAUACUUCUUUGACCAUGCCUAGCAUCAUCCACUGAAGUCCCAAACCAUCUCAGUAUUACGUACCACAAAAGAGGCGCUAUCCAACAAUGUAAAAAGCAGAUUAUUCACGUCUUCUCAUGAGUUUUUAUACAUGAAGCACCAACUAACGCAAGUAAUCGUUUUCUUCCUCAAAUUGUCAGCUGUCAAGACCACUCCUUGAAUCUAACCAAAAGAAAAAAUACCUUUCUCAGUACCCUAGGGAUCCAUACCGAGAGAUGAGGAAAUUUGGCUCCUGCCAACUCAGAAGCUUCUCAUAAUAGGACUUAACAGAGAAGAUGCCAUUAUUCCCCAUCCCCAUCUCCAUUCAGCAUGGCUAACUUGUGAAGUACUUUGUUUUUGAAGCACUUCAACCAAGCUAUGAAAUUCUGUGACUUUCAGUCUUGUAAGCUCCUCAUAUAAGCCUCAAUGCACUUUUGUAUCCGUUGGACUGACAUCUUCUUUUAGAAUGAAUUUUAGCAUUAAUUUAUGUACAUAUUUGGAAUGUGGUUCUUAAGUUGCUAGUCUUUGCACUACUUAUGUCCCUGAAAACUUAUGUGGCUUCCAUUACCCACCCGAAUGAUACAUUCCAUCAAACUUUUCGCACUCCAUCAAGAUAUUCCUCCAUAAUCCACACUCAUAAGGAAGUGUGAUACUUUUUUCCCCCCAUUCCCCUCCCAUGAUCCUAUAUUUCUCUGCGAUCGCCCUUCGCAAGAGCAUUCUCUUCUACCUCGAAUCUCCAUAGCCACUUAUCCAAUAAUGCCUUGUUAAAAACCCUCAAAUCGGAAAAUACGCAGUCCAAUGCAACACUUCUGUGUCGUCACCGCCUCCCAAUUACCAAGUGAAACUUCCUGUCCCCACUUGAGGCAUCCCAUAGGAAAUUCCUCUGAAGGGUUUUCAGCUUUCUUGUAAUAGGAUAUUACUAAGCAUGGAACUUUAUUUGAAGUAUGUGGGAAUAUAUUUGAUAGAGUACUCUUACAUGCGAGCCUCUUUUAUACUCUUCUUAUCACUGGGUUCCGAGUUGGUGAUAAACCAAGUAGAUAGUAGGAAGAGCCCCAACUUUGCAAUUUAACACAUGCGGUAAGACCUCAAUCUUCUCCGCCUUGCCAACGGGGAUAAUGUCACAUUUUCUAAGCACUCGGAACCAUGUCAACACUUGUCUCAAGUAAGCCAUCUGAGCUUUGUUAGCAUCACGAAAUACUAACAUGUUAUCAGCAAACAAAAGGUGUGACAGUACUUUGUCCACCGACCGCAGUAGACACCCCCUCAUGUAACCUCCUAUCGAUCCUCUUGCUCAGCUCUUCCAUCCCUA